rnacentral:rRNA from 1 species
AUUGAACGCUGGCGGCAGGCUUAACACAUGCAAGUCGAGCGGGGGAAGGUAGCUUGCUACCGGACCUAGCGGCGGACGGGUGAGUAAUGCUUAGGAAUCUGCCUAUUAGUGGGGGACAACGUCUCGAAAGGGAUGCUAAUACCGCAUACGUCCUACGGGAGAAAGCAGGGGAUCUUCGGACCUUGCGCUAACAGAUGAGCCUAAGUCGGAUUAGCUAGUUGGUGGGGUAAAGGCCUACCAAGGCGACGAUCUGUAGCGGGUCUGAGAGGAAGAUCCGCCACACUGGGACUGAGAAACGGCCCAGACUCCUACGGGAGGCAGCAGUGGGGAAUAUUGAACAAUGGGGGGAACCCUGAUCCAGCCAUGCCGCGUGUGUGAAGAAGGCCUUAUGGUUGUAAAGCACUUUAAGCGAGGAGGAGGCUACUUUAGUUAAUACCUAGAGAUAGUGGACGUUACUCGCAGAAUAAGCACCGGCUAACUCUGUGCCAGCCGCCGCAGUAA